rnacentral:rRNA from 1 species
ACGGCUGGGUAUUAAGCCCGAGAGGUAAUGAGGAGAGCUCUUUGAGCUCAUGAACUCAGUGAUCCCAGGCUUCCGAGAAAAGCUCCGGCGGGAGUGUCUGUGGUGACCGUACCGCAAACCGACACAGGUGGGUGGGGAGAAUAUCCCAAGGCGCUUGAGAGAACCCUCCCUAAGGAACUCGCAAAAUGACACCGUAACUUCGGGAGAAGGUGUGCCUGCGGUAGGUGAAGCGCUUCGCGCGCUGAGCCGAAGCAGGUUGCAGAGAAACGGGGGUAGCGACUGUUUACCAAAAACACAGCACUCUGCCAAGUCGCAAGACGACGUAUAGGGUGUGACUCCUGCCCGGUGCCGGAAGGUUAAGAGGAGUUGUCAGCCGCAAGGCGAAGCGACGAAUCGAAGCCCCGGUAAACGGCGGCCGUAACAAUAACGGUCCUAAGGUAGCGAAAUUCCUUGUCGGGUAAGUUCCGACCUGCACGAAUGGAGUAACGACUUCCCCACUGUCUCGGAGAGGGUCUCAGCGAAGUAGCACUAGGGGUGAAGAUACCCUUUACCUACGGCAGGACGGAAAGACCCCGUGAACCUUUACUGCAACUUGACACUGGCUCUCGGACUAGUUUGCGUAGGAUAGGUGGGAGGCUGUGAAGUCGGGACUCUGGUCUCGGUGGAGCCAACCUUGAAAUACCACCCUGGCUAGUCUAAGAUUCUAACCUGCGCCCGUGAGCCGGGCGGGGGACACUGUCUGGUGGGCAGUUUGACUGGGGCGGUCGCCUCCCAAAAAGUAACGGAGGCGCGCGAAGGUUCCCUCAGGCUGAUUGGAAACCAGCCGAAGAGUGUAAUGGCAUAAGGGAGCUUGACUGCGAGACAAACAAGUCGAGCAGGUGCGAAAGCAGGUCAUAGUGAUCCGGUGGUUCCGAAUGGAAGGGCCAUCGCUCAACGGAUAAAAGGUACUCCGGGGAUAACAGGCUUAUCACGCCCAAGAGUUCACAUCGACGGCGUGGUUUGGCACCUCGAUGUCGGCUCAUCGCAUCCUGGGGCUGAAGUAGGUCCCAAGGGUUUGGCUGUUCGCCAAUUAAAGCGGUACGCGAGCUGGGUUCAAAACGUCGUGAGACAGUUUGGUCCCUAUCCGCCGUGGGCGCAGGAGACUUGAGAGGAGCUGUCCUUAGUACGAGAGGACCGGGAUGGAUCGACCUCUAGUGUUUCGGUUGUUCUGCCAAGAGCAUUGCCGAGUAGCUAUGUCGAGAACGGAUAACCGCUGAAAGCAUCUAAGCGGGAAGCCAACCUCAAGAUUAGGUCUCCCUGGGACGCAAGUCCCCUAAAGGCCCCAUGUAGACCACGUGGUAAUAGGCCAGGUGUGGAAACGCAGCGAUGCGUGGAGCUAACUGGUACUAAUCGGCCGUGAGGCUUGACCAU